UCCUACGGGAGGCAGCAGUGGGGAAUAUUGGACAAUGGGCGCAAGCCUGAUCCAGCCAUGCCGCGUGUGUGAAGAAGGCCUUUUGGUUGUAAAGCACUUUAAGCGAGGAGGAGGCUACUUGGAUUAAUACUCUAGGAUAGUGGACGUUACUCGCAGAAUAAGCACCGGCUAACUCUGUGCCAGCAGCCGCGGUA
rnacentral:rRNA from 2 species